GGGUGGGGCCAGUCUCUAGGGUGGGCUGCCUGCCCUGGCUGAGCUGGAUUAAAUCGGUGCGCUAGCGGGUGGGGCAGACCCUGGGCUAGCAGGCCCCAGGGAGAACUCCAAUGGCGUCUGUGUCAGCACGCCCACACCAGGCCACAACAAUGGCCGCUGCCAAUGUCCCAGUCCCUGGAGAGGUCUCACCUCUCACCGAGAUGCACUCAGAGCCUAUCAGGUCAUUUACCCUGGGCAAGCCAGUCUCCAUGCUGUGAGGACUAGGUGAUGAAUUAAGGCCUUCUGUCAAUAGUCAAGCUCAAUUUGCCAGCAAUGAGAGUGAGUUACGUUGGAAGCAUAUCCCCCAGCCCUAGUCAAGCCUUCAGAUGACUGCAGCUCUGGCUGACGUCUGGACUGCAAUCUCAUUAGAAACCUUGAUCCAGAACCACCCAGCUACACUGCUUCUAAAUUCCUGACCACGAAAACUGAAAUAUGAAGCAACAUGUAAUUACUUGAGAAACCUCAAAAGAAUCCAUUGAAUAAUCAGUAAGAGGGAACUAUUCCUGACUAUUCAACUCUAAACAUCAAACAAGACUACGACUUUUGCUUUAGCGUUGGGCAAAAACAUAACUAAUCUACUUCUGCUCUAAGAAGAGUAUUUCUUCACCCAGGCGCGAACAAAUGAGGAGACUGUUGUUUCAAGUGAUGACAGGGAUGUUUCCAGAGAUUAUUGAGUGACAGAUAUGAGUGAUCCAAAGGGGAGAGAGAAGCUGGUUGGCGUAUCACCUGCUUGGUGAGUUUCUGCUGGUUAGAAAAAGAGACUGGGGAAAUUCCCAUACCAUUAGGUAACGAUUUCAUAGGUGGCAUAACCCCACUGGAUCUCACCCUCUCUGGCCCUCAAAUUAAUACAAAAAAGGGAGAUGACUUCACAGGUCAUUGAACAUAUGACCAGUUACCAAACUAGUGGGUCCUCUAUCCAGUAAAUCUGUGUGUGCACACUUUGCGUGUAUAAGUAGGCGUAUUUAAAUUAUU